AAUAUUUAAUUUUAUUGUACGGGGUUAGAUGGUAGAAGGGUUUGAGUCGAUAGUAAUAUGAGACAGUAUACCUAGGAUGAAAUCAAUUAAAUAUGUUUAAUUUCAUUGAACAGAAUUAGAUGGUAAGACGGGUUUGAGUUUAUAAUAAUACGACACGUUAUACAACGGGUGAAAUCCUAUAAAUAACAAUUAAAAUACAAUGAUAUCAUUUAAAAUAUAUGACAAAAGAAACAAUCUUAACAAAAAUCAUAUAUAAUUUAAAAUUUA
rnacentral:sRNA from 1 species